CUGAUUACAAGAGGGUAGAGAAGACAGUGCAGUAUUUCAAUUCCAAAAGAGUAUCGUUAGUCAUGCUUCUUUCUUUUUUAGUUAUCAGAUCUGUGGCAGUUAAGAGAAGAAUUAAUUAAGCAUCUUGACAGCCUUAUGGAAGCCUUGCUCUCAGAGAAAGACCAGUGUCAUUACAUUUUUGCUGCAGUGAUGAUGAAUCUGAUUAGCAGACGGCAACUGAGAGACAGGAUGGCUUGAUAAAUUGGAGAGAGAGGAAAAUGUUCUUUAAAAGGAAAAAAAAAGGAAUGGAGGCAAGGAAAACACUUAUAAGAAGGAAGAAAAAAGAGUUUAUAAUGUCCACGAAGCCAUAAACUUGAAAAUUCAAUGAAAGAGAGCCAUCAGAGGAGAGAAGAACAGCAAGUGGAGCUGGGGAGGAAAUGGGAGCUGGGUAAGGCUGCAGCUUCCCCGGCCUUCAGUCCCUGAGAUGACAGAGGGGACAUGCAGAAACCCUUCCUGCUCUGUGUGGUCAGAGCUGCACAGAGCACUGCACAGCGCUACAGCUUGGAAGCGUGAGCUUUUUUUUUUUUUUUC
ensembl:lncRNA